AGAAGGCAGAGGGUGGCAGAACACUGAUCUUCCAGUUGGGGGCGCUGCAUUCUGAGCCUGCCCACUGUACCGGGAUACAAGUGCAGACGGAGCUGCGAGGAGGAGACGGUUAUCGCCUGCUGAGGUGGAAGGUAUGUCACAGAGGAGUACUGAACCUGAGAAAGAGUUCAAACCGCUGACCAGCAAGUCUUCAACUGGGAUCACCAGUGUAAAAGCUUUGGCGGCCUAUCCUCUAUUUGUUUACCUGUUUACUUCAUUUCUCUGGCUGCAUUAACAAUAAAGCUUGGAGACUGAAAAAAAAAUGUGUUCAUUCUUUUUCAUUAUAAUAGACCUUUUUUUUUUUUUGCCAUUUGUACAUUUUAACUAAGGGAGACAACUUCUCAUCCUGAAGUCCCAAUGUGACAUGACUUAGAAUUCACUGCUGUCUCAGUUUGUGACACAAAAUGUCAUAUGAAAUGUUAACCAAAUUGCUAUUGAUUAGGAAUUGGAUAUGACAUUCAGGUGAAAUGGCUA